GACGAACGCUGGCGGCGUGCCUAAUACAUGCAAGUCGAACGCAGUGGGGAUGGGGGAGUAGCAAGUGGGUAACCUCCCAUCAGAGGGGAUAACACUUGGAAACAGGUGCUAACCCGCUACUGAAGUAUGCACCCGCGGUGCAUUAGCUAGUUGGUGAGGUAACGGCUCACCAAGGCCACGAUGCAUAGCCGACCUGAGAGGGUGAUCGGCCACACUGGGACUGAGACACGGCCCAGACUCCUACGGGAGGCAGCAGUAGGGAAUAUUCGGAAAUGGACGAAAGGCUGAUCGAGCCACGCCGCGUGAGUGAAGAAGGUUUUCGGAUCGUAAAACUCUGUUAUUAAAGAAGCGGUAUCUAACCAGAAAGCCACGGCUAACUACGUGCCAGCAGCCGCGGUAAUAC
rnacentral:rRNA from 1 species